rnacentral:rRNA from 1 species
AACUAACAAGGAUUCCCCUAGUAACGGCGAGUGAAGAGGGAAGAGCCCAAGAUUGAAAGCUGGCGCCUUCGGCGUCCGCAUUGUAAUCUCAAGAAGCAUUUUCCGCUUCGGACCAAGCCUAAGUCCCUUGGAAAAGGGCAUCGUAGAGGGUGAGAAUCCCGUACAUGGCUUGGAGCGCCCGAGGCUUUGUGAUAUGCAUUCUAAGAGUCGAGUUGUUUGGGAAUGCAGCUCAAAAUGGGUGGUAAAUGCCAUCUAAGGCUAAAUAUUGGGGAGAGACCGAUAGCGAACAAGUACCGUGAGGGAAAGAUGAAAAGAACUUUGAAAAGAGAGUUAAACAGUACGUGAAAUUGCCAAAAGGGAAGGGUAGGAGGUCAGAGAUGCGGCAUGGGAUUCAGCCUUGCUUUUGCUUGGUGUUUUUCCCAUUUUGCAGGCCAACGUCGGUUUUGGGCACUGGAGAAUGGUGGGAGGAAUGUGGCACUCUUCGGGGUGUGUUAUAGCCUCCUACUGGAUACAGCGACCGGGACCGAGGAACGCAGCGUACUCGAAAGAGCGGGCCUUCGGGCACCUUUACGCUUAGGGCGUUGGCAUAAUGACCCUCUACCACCCGUCUUGAAACACGGACC